UUUGACUACUGGCCAACACUUUGAGAGAAUAGUGCCACACAAAAAAGGACAGCCUAAGGAGGAGCAUAUUUGAAAGAUUUCUUUCGUGGGCCUUACUACAGACCUCAGAGCUAUGAUCCAAAAACCGAGGAGUGAGGGACAGAUGUGAAGAUAAGGAACUGCUGUUGUGUGCUCGCGUGUGUGCGUGCAUGUGUGUGGUGGUGGUGGGGGGUUAAAUUUGUCCACUGCACAAAAUCUGAUUCAAAUUAAGAGAUUAAGGAAGAAAAUAUUUCCUGUAACCAUCAUAAGAAAAUAUGACCACAUAAAAGUAGAAGAGUGAGAUGUGGACAGAUGAGAAGUCCUGCACGCCUCAAUCAUGAUUGGAAACCAGCAGGACUGUCAACGAUGCAGGACUUAAAAUUGAAUUGUAUUAAUCCACGUCUGUGUCAUUUCUUGAAUAUUUGAGUUUGAAUAUAAAUAUUUUGCAAAGUAUCUGUUCUAUUUGGUGCAGUAGUUGAGAGCAAAUAAAUAAAAACGGUUUGAUGUUUGUGUUGCUUUACAUCACCGUGUCGUAACCUUUGGCAUGAUAGCCGUACUAUGCUCAAACUGUACAGUGUGCCCAAGUGAGACAAAUAUGCAUGAGUGAAUACUUCUGCCUGGUAACAAAGUGUGUGUGUGUGCGUGUGUGUGUGUGUGCGUGUGCGUGUGCGUGUGUGUGCGUGCGUGCACAUAUAUGAAUGGAAGCACGUGUGCAUUUUCAUGUCCGGGCAUGUCUGCUCCUACUGGAGACAUCGGACCUUGGUAACAGAGUUCUCAGGAAAAAGAUCAUCACCAUCUAAAUACACACCCAACCACCCACAAAGAUGCUGACAUCCAUCUGGUGUUGAAGUAGACACUUGUCUGAUAACAACAACUAGGAAAAACACAAGCAAAUAUUCCCAUGUUAGAUGCGAUGAACAACAAGCGGUGAAUCAGAUCGUCUUGAACCGCCCACUUUUAUACCUCACACCUAAACGUUGUGAGCCCCCAAGACGCACACAUACACACACUUUAACAGCUGUUCACUGUCAUUAUCCCUUCCAUCUAUGUCACCCCAACCCCCACAAUGUACCCCAUUUCUUCCCCAACUAGUCAUGUAAACAACAGCCCCACCCUCUCCAUUUCAAUCACCUCUG